rnacentral:rRNA from 1 species
UGGUCCUACGGGGGGCAGCAGUGGGGGAUAUUGCACAAUGGGGGAAACCCUGAUGCAGCGAUGCCGCGUGAGUGAAGACGGCCUUCGGGCUGUAAAGCUCUGUCGCAGGGGACGAAAAUGACGGUACCCUGCAAGAAAGCUCCGGCUAACUACGUGCCAGCAGCCGCGGUAAUACGUAGGGAGCAAGCGUUGUCCGGAAUUACUGGGUGUAAAGGGAGCGUAGGCGGGAGGAUAGGUUGAAUGGGAAAUUCAU